UUGUGUUUAUGAAUGUUAUUAUUUAUUAUUGUAUCGCAGUAUCAACGUGAUAUAUCAAUGAAUUGGUUAAAACAUGCCUUCACUUUGUAAAAAAAUACAAACGUGAGAAAAUUAUUCAUAAUUGUUGCAUAAAAAUAGCAUAGUCUUAAAUUCUGCAAAUGCCCAGAACCAAGCGUCUUCGAUAAUCUACCAACAGAAGUUUUGCCAUCUUAUCGUCCUUCGCCUCUGGACAAACUUGGCUUCUGUUUCAAGUGCUGCUGGGUGGUGCCAUUACGACUUGCCGCUAUCAUCAUUUGCUUUAUAUUGUUGGUUUGUACACAGAUGUGGAGUAUUUUGCAAGUAGUGGGUGUGGAAAAGACAACUGCGUCUCUCAUAACUGACGAAGAUAGCAAUGUGUUUUAUUUUAUUAAAAUAACACUUGUGUGGCUCGCUACUGUGUUUAUAAUGGCGUGUGGAGUCUUACUUGUUGGUAUAAUUCUCUCAAAUCACAAACUUGUCAAUGUCUUCAUGUGGUACACUGUAAUAUAUACUAUGCUACAAUGUGUGUUGUCUCUUACUGCAUUUGGCCUUCACGUUAUGCGAACUGGAAAGACAUCGGGAAGACUUGUUGUGCGGUUGGUACUUAGCAUUCUGUGGAAUUGUUUGAUAUUUUAUUUCCUGAAAGUUAUAAACAGUUACAAGAUGUUGAUUUGGAUGCCGUAACAUAAAACAGACUUGGUGUAAUUAUAUUAUGGGACCCGGCCUUUCUUCGUCCUGGUGUCAGCGAAACCAUUACGAUAACUCAUUUUAUUUUUUAAUGGCAAUUAUAUUUAUGUUUUACAUAGAAAAUACUCCUGCUUCGGUGUUUUCUUUUUAGUAGGUUUUUUAACUUGUAUGAUUAAUACUAUGAUUUAUUUUCCUACUCAACAUCCUGCAUAUUUAUUGAUUAUGAGAAUUGUAUAAUCUACAGAUAAUGUCAAUAUAAUUUGAAGCUUCAAUAGGUCCUAGAAGUGAAAGGCUUACUUUUAGU